rnacentral:rRNA from 1 species
GAUGAACGCUGGCGGCGUGCCUAAUACAUGCCAGUCGAGCGAACGGACGAGAAGCUUGCUUCUCUGAUGUUAGCGGCGGACGGGUGAGUAACACGUGGAUAACCUACCUAUAAGACUGGGAUAACUUCGGGAAUCCGGAGCUAAUACCGGAUGAUAUUUUGAACCGCAUGGUUCAAAAGUGAAAGACGGUCUUGCUGUCACUUAUAGAUGGAUCCGCGCUGCAUUAGCUAGUUGGUAAGGUAACGGCUUACCAAGGCAACGAUGCAUAGCCGACCUGAGAGGGUGAUAGGGCACCCUGGAACUGAGCCACGGUCCAGACUCCUCCGGGAGGCAGCAGUAGGGAAUCUUCCGCAAUGGGCGAAAGCCUGACGGAGCAACGCCGCGUGAGUGAUGAAGGUCUUCGGAUCGUAAAACUCUGUUAUUAGGGAAGAACAUAUGUGUAAGUAACUGUGCACAUCUUGACGGUACCUAAUCAGAAAGCCACGGCUAACUACGUG